rnacentral:rRNA from 1 species
GGAAGCUGGAAGUGCCUGAAGUGGCGUAACCGCAAGGAGCGUCCUAGGGUAAAGUCGGUAACUGGGGCU